GACGAACGCUGGCGGCGCGCCUAACACAUGCAAGUCGAACGGAGCUGAGAGAAGCUUGCUUUUCUUAGCUUAGUGGCGAACGGGUGAGUAACGCGUGAGUAACCUGCCCUGGAGUGGGGGACAACAGUUGGAAACGACUGCUAAUACCGCAUAAGCCCACGAUCCGGCAUCGGAUUGAGGGAAAAGGAUUUAUUCGCUUCAGGAUGGACUCGCGUCCAAUUAGCUAGUUGGUGAGGUAACGGCCCACCAAGGCGACGAUUGGUAGCCGGACUGAGAGGUUGAACGGCCACAUUGGGACUGAGACACGGCCCAGACUCCUACGGGAGGCAGCAGUGGGGGAUAUUGCACAAUGGGGGAAACCCUGAUGCAGCGACGCCGCGUGGAGGAAGAAGGUUGUCGGAUUGUAAACUCCUGUCGUUAGGGACGAUAAUGACGGUACCUAACAAGAAAGCACCGGCUAACUACGUG
rnacentral:rRNA from 1 species